UACAUUUCUUCUUCUUCGUGGUGCCAUAUCAGAUUUCUGACGUCGGCGACACCUGGCGUAGGUUUGUAAUCCGCCAAGGUGUAUACUAGGGAAAGUUACUACCCAGAGUGGUUUCCCGUUGCCUUCUCUGGGGCGCGAUGUUACGCGAGGGGAACUAAUGCCUUCCGGGAGGACU